GUGCGUCAAGUUGUUCCCUGCAUAAGCUUAUUUUAUAUCUCAUUCGUAAGGGUAAAUCAUUCUAAGAUGUGUUGAAAGAUUCACAGAAUCUGAAGGUAGAAAAACUAUAUGACUGUAAUCAUUGGUAUAAACAAUAUUUGCAUUGAGGUCUAAAGGGUUUCCCAGAACGGCAGCGUCAGCUGAGCCUAAUGGUGAAGUGUACAACUUGUACUGACGGAAUCUUUCCACGGCAGGAAUGUAACAGUUUUCAGAAUAAAGGAGCACUACGCAAGCAAGAGUAAAAUCAAGAAACGCCAGGAGCAGACCCAAACAGUGGACCCAAACAGGAUGUGCGGUAAAUGGACAGAUUGAGGUAGCCGUGAGUGAGCGAUGGCAGGCUGACGUGGGGGUGGCCGUGAUCCCGUCGUUCGGUGGUUCUGUGGUGAAUCCCGUGAUAUCAGAGGUGCCUUUCUCAUGGUCUGCCAAGGGAGACUACUUAAUGGUGGAAGCAGAAGCAGGCAGAAGUAUGCUUUGGGUCAACCUGGACCAUGUUGUAGAGAAGACUGAAGAAUGUGGUGGAUGGUGUAGUCAGAACCUCAAGACAAGAAUGUGGCAUUUAUGGGUGUCCUGCAGAGACCAACACAAUGCAAGAGGAACAUACAGAGUAGCUGAUCCAUAAGCCUUGUCCAGGAGUCCUCCCAAGCCACCUGUAGCUUCAAGAUCAAGGCAGCAGCAGCAGCGGUGACACCAGAAUGAAAGAGAAACUAGGAAGAGGGUGUGUGAAUGUAAGCAGAAGAGGAGGCAAGUACUGGGAGCUGUGGACAAAAAGGCCUGCAUCAGAAGAAAUCCUGACCAAGAUCAAGCAGCAGCAGCAGCAGUGUCCAUGGAGGUCUUCAGUUGGCCUUGGACAAGGUUUCCUCUCCUAUCCAUGCACAACACCUGUAGAGUAAC